rnacentral:lncRNA from 1 species
CAAAAUUACCAGUGUUUAAUAGUAAAAACUUUGUUUCCCAAAAAAAAUAGAAAAGUUAUUAUUGAUAGAAAAAAAAAAAAUUGUCCUGCACGACAACCAUACCUUCUCCGGGCAUAAUUGGAAACGUCCACGGGGAUUCUAGGUCUCUCGUGUCUAACGGCGUCUUCAACCGGGGGUUUUAGGGUUUCAGCGGAGUCGCC